GAUGAACGCUGGCGGCGUGCCUAAUACAUGCAAGUCGAGCGAACAGACGAGGAGCUUGCUCCUCUGACGUUAGCGGCGGACGGGUGAGUAACACGUGGAUAACCUACCUAUAAGACUGGGAUAACUUCGGGAAACCGGAGCUAAUACCGGAUAAUAUAUUGAACCGCAUGGUUCAAUAGUGAAAGACGGUUUUGCUGUCACUUAUAGAUGGAUCCGCGCCGCAUUAGCUAGUUGGUAAGGUAACGGCUUACCAAGGCAACGAUGGGUAGCCGACCUGGGAGGGUGAUCGGCCACACGGGAACUGAGACACGGUCCGAACUCCUACGGGAGGCAGCAGUAGGGAAUCUUCCGCAAUGGGCGAAGGCCUGACGGAGCAACGCGGCGUAAGUGAGGAGGGUCUUCGGAUCGUAAAACUCUGUUAUUGGGGAGAAACGAAUGUGUAAGUAACUAUGCACGUAUUGACGGUACCUAAUCAGAAAGCCACGGCUAACUACGUG
rnacentral:rRNA from 1 species